CCCUAUGGGGCGCAGCAGGCGGGAGGGAUGGGUGUUGGUCUUCGUCAGGCAGCUCUUCGGCAUCGGAAUUCGCUCGCCGCUUGUUUGCUGACAUGUGGCGGUGAUAAGCUCGGAGGAAGUUGCGAGCGACCUGUCGCAGCACGGCUGUACGCUCUUCCGGAGGCAAUCCGGUAUAGCGGCCGCGCACGGCCCACCAGUGCAGGAAGCACUCCUGGACCAUAUCUUCGGCCACUGCUUUGCGUCGGGAACGCCCCGCUGUCCAUUCCCGGACCAAUACCUGAAUCAGUCGGAGGUCCCCUGAUUCAAAAUCCCCGUCCGACAAAGAAGUGUUUCAGUAGAUUUCUCGGCCCCCUCAUAUGCCUUCUUGCGGAAAAAGAGGGGCAACAAUUCGCGAGGGGAUUGCAUUUAGGUAGGGCGGGAUGGC
rnacentral:rRNA from 1 species